rnacentral:sRNA from 1 species
CAGAUUUUGAACUUAUAAUCAAUGAUGAGAAUGAAUCUCAUUGACCAUUAGACCUACCUUUAAAAGUUUUUUCUCGUCUAAUUCAAAUCAU